GGUGAACGCUGGCGGCGUGCUUAAGACAUGCAAGUCGAACGCAGUCUUCGGACUGAGUGGCGCACGGGUGAGUAACACAUAACUGACCUACCCCCAAGUCGCGGAUAACUGGCCGAAAGGUCAGCUAAUACGUGAUGUGAUGUCCCCUUUCUGGGGGGCCAUUAAAGGUUUACUGCUUGGGGAUGGGGUUGCGUUCCAUCAGCUAGUUGGCGGGGUCAAGGCCCACCAAGGCAACGACGGAUAGCCGGCCUGAGAGGGUGGCCGGCCACAGGGGCACUGAGACACGGGUCCCACUCCUACGGGAGGCAGCAGUUAGGAAUCUUCCACAAUGGGCGAAAGCCUGAUGGAGCGACGCCGCGUGAGGGAUGAAGGUUCUCGGAUCGUAAACCUCUGAAUCAGGGACGAAAGACGCGUAAGCGGGAUGACGGUACCUGAGUAAUAGCACCGGCUAACUCCGUGCCAGCAGCCGCAGUAA
rnacentral:rRNA from 1 species